AUUGAACGCUAGCGGGAUGCUUUACACAUGCAAGUCGAACGAGUGGCGGACGGGUGAGUAAUAUAUCGGAAAGUGCCCAGUAGCGGGGGAUAACUACUAGAAAGAGUGGCUAAUACCGCCAACUCUUGGAGCGGCCGAUAUCGGAUUGGCGAGUUGGGGGGGUAAAGGCGCACAAAGGCAACGAUCCUUAGCUGGUUUGAGAGGACGACCAGCCACACUGGGCCUGAGACCCGGCCCAGACUCCUACGGGAGGCAGCAGUGGGGAAUUUUGGACAAUGGGGGAAACCCUGAUCCAGCCAUCCCGCGUGUAUGAGAAGGCCUUCGGUUUGUAAAGUACUUUUGGCAGAGAAGCGGUAUCUGCAGAAUAAGCACCGGCUAACUACGUGCCAGCAGCCGCGGUAAUAC
rnacentral:rRNA from 1 species